CCUACGGGAGGCAGCAGUGGGGAAUAUUGGACAAUGGGGGCAACCCUGAUCCAGCGACGUCGCGUGAGUGAAGAAGUAUUUCGGUAUGUAAAGCCCUAUCAGCAGGAAAGAAAACGACGGUACCUGACUAAGAAGCCCCGGCUUACUACGUGCCAGCAGCCGCGGUAAUACGGCGGGGGCAAGCGUUAUUCGGAUUUAUUGGGUGUUAAGGGAGCGUAGAUGGGAGCGCAAGUCUGGAGGGAAAUGCCGGGGCCCAACCCCGGUACUGCUCUGGAAACUGGCGAGCUGGAGUGGAGGAGAGGUAAGCGGAAUGCCUGGUGUAGCGGUGAAAUGCGUAGAUAUCAGGAGGAACACCGGCGGCGAAGGCAGCAUACUGGACUGUAACUGACGUUGAGGCACGAAGGCGUGGGGAGCGAACAGGAUUAGAUACCCGAGUAGUC
rnacentral:rRNA from 1 species